CGUAAGUAAUCUGCCCCGAAGAGGGGGAUAAUCCAGAGAAAUCUGGCCUAAUACCCCGUACCUUCCUCUCCAGCCUGCUGGAUUGGAAGAAAGGCCUAGGCCGCUUUGGGAGGAGCUUGCGGCUUAUCAGGUAGUUGGUGGGGUAAUGGCCUACCAAGCCGAAGACGAGUAACCGGUGUGAGAGCACGAUCGGUCAGAGGGGGACUGAGACACGGCCCCCACUCCUACGGGAGGCAGCAGCAGGGAAUCUUGCGCAAUGGGCGAAAGCCUGACGCAGCGACACCGCGUGGAGGAUGAAGGUCUUAGGAUUGUAAACUCCUUUUAUCAGGGAAGAGAAAGGACGGUACCUGAUGAAUAAGGUUCGGCUAACUACGUGCCAGCAGCCGCGGUAAUACGUAGGAACCGAGCGUUGUCCGAAUUUACUGGGCGUAAAGAGCGCGUAGGCGGUUUGUUAAGUCUCAUGUGUAAUCUCCCGGCUCAACUGGGAGGGGUCAUGGGAUACUGGCAGACUCGAGGAUAGCAGAGGAAAGCGGAAUUCCCGGAGUAGUGGUGAAAUGCGUAGAUACCGGGAGGAACACCAGAGGCGAAGGCGGCUUUCUGGGCUAUUUCUGACGCUGAGGCGCGAAAGCGUGGGGAGCGAACCGGAUUAGAUACCCGGGUAGUCCACGCCCUAAACGAUGGAUACUAGAUGUUGGGGGUAUCGACCCCUCCCGGUGUCGAAGCUAACGCGAUAAGUAUCCCGCCUGGGGAGUACGGCCGCAAGGCUAAAACUCAAAGGAAUUGACGGGGACCCGCACAAGCAGCGGAGCGUGUGGUUUAAUUCGAUGCAAAGCGAAGAACCUUACCCAGGCUUGACAUGUUUCUGAAAGCCCCCGAAACGGGGCCCUCCUUCGGGACAGAUUCACAGAUGUUGCAUGGCUGUCGUCAGCUCGUGUCGUGAGAUGUUGGGUUAAGUCCCGCAACGAGCGCAACCCCUGUCGUUAGUUAUUAUGUCUAGCGAGACUGCCCCCACUGGGGGAGGAAGGUGGGGACGAGGUCAAGUCGUCAUGGCUCUUACGCCUGGGGCUACACACACGCUACAAUGGCCGGAAACAAUGGGCUGCCACAGCGCGAGCUGGAGCGAAUCCUCAAAGCCGGUCUCAGUUGGAAUUGCAGGCUGCAACUCGCCUGCAUGAACGUGGAGUUGCUAGUAACCGUAGGUCAGCACACUACGGUGAAUACGUUCUCGGGUCUUGUACACACCGCCCGUCAAGUCAUGGAAGUCGGUAACACUUGAAGUCGCUGGGCCAACCCUUUGGGAGGCA
rnacentral:rRNA from 1 species